UCCUCCCUUGAACCACUGUAUUUUCUCUACAAAAACCCCUACUCACAUUCCAGUAAAUGUUCUGAUGCAUGGACCAAACUCCGCCUCAGUUCUACUGGGAUUUCAUCUACUCCUGACUGAUCCAAGAUCCUGAACUACCAUCAUCACCUGGGAACUCUGACAAAUUCAAGUUUCCUGGAGUGAAUUCUUCAGAAUUUCAGAAAACUAUUUUAUCCCAAAAAGUUGCACCAAGCAAAAAAUUACCUGCACUACACACAGAAAGAAUGGUUGCCAUUGUGCAUACCACGAAAGAAGCCCUGCAACUUGUUGAAAUGUAUCAUGGCAGUCCAUUGGAUGGACAUCUAGGAAUAUUCAAAAUGAGGAAUAUGCUGACAUCAAAAUGCUAUUGGCCAGAGAUGACAAAAGAUAUUGCCAAUUGGUUUAACCUGUAUAUUUGUGAAAGAUGGGGAAUAAAAUGUAGCUUCACGAGACUGUACCAUCCACAAACUAAUGGCUUGGUUGAAAACACUAAUAAAUCCAUCAAAAGGUAAGCGAGCAGGUGGGAGUAUUACAGUACUAAUGGCAAGUAGAGUGUGCUAUGCCAGAAGAUGCAACUCACUAAAAAAUCUUCAAAAUCAACGUGUUACAUUGGA